rnacentral:snRNA from 1 species
UUUUCCACAUAAAUUGCCUG